rnacentral:lncRNA from 1 species
CCCUCUCUAUAUUUAUAGACGGAUGGCCGCAGGUCAACCUGCGACAGCUGUAGUUGAACCUGCUGCUGGUCGUGGUGGGCCCGGGCCUCGCGGGUCCCGUUGUCUCGUAGUUCGUGCAGUCGUGCACUGUAAUGUCCAAUCGAACUUGCAGAACUUCAAUCCGAGCAUCCAAACGAAGUAUAUCUGUACUUCUUCGGAUCGCUUGUGUCGAGAGUUAUGUAAUGACAUGGAUUAGAGGUUGUAUGAAGUCAGGAAGAGGGGUCUAUGCCCAGGGUCUUCAAGCUUCAAAGUCUAUCCAAAGUACUGCCACACGUAAUAGUCACUCGGGAUUGUCACUCCUUGGCUCUUGUGGGACAUUGUUGUAUGUAUGUAUAUAUGAAGCGCUAAGACGACGUGCCAUUUGUCGGAGGAACAAGAUGAUGCGUGACUCGUUGCCGGGGUUAUCGCCGGGUUGAGUUGAAAGUAGACGUUGCUCAGGGUUACAGCUGAGAUUGGACCACUUGUUGGUAUGCUGCGAUAUCAUCUUGUUGACGUGAUCAGAUGACGUGUUGACUCCUCACCGGGGUUAUUGCCAGUUUAAGUAGAAAGCAGACGUUGCUCAGGGUUAUAUCUGAGAUUUGACUGCUUGUUUAUAUGCCUCACCGUCAUCUGCAGGUAUUGAAGCUGAUUGCAUGUCUUUGAAACAAACAUUUCCGGGGUUAUCGCCGGAACUGCAAUGGCAUUCCUUGGGGCUAUCACCAAGGAUGGGGUUGUUACUCUUAGUGUUGUCUCUGGGACUGGAACUGAACGUCGCGGUGUUAUCGCCAAGAUAGAGCUGUCAUCUCCGGUGUUGUUGCCGGUCUUUUGAUCUGCAUAUCUCGGGGUUAUCUCCGAGAUUGGAACCGGUGUGUGUUCCGGGUUUGGAACUGAGCUUCCGGUAGUAUCCGGAUUGGAGCUGAUGUUCCCGGUUUGUGUUCCGGGUUUGGAGCUGAACUUCCGGUAGUAUCCAGAAUGGUUUGUAAGCUGUCUUUCAGGGUUAUCUCCAAAAGACGAAUCUACCCUCCUGCAAUGUCAGUAAUAGGAGUGCAGAAAAUUUCGAGUGUCUACAAUGAGUAUUAAAUAUCCUUGAAAAAUGAUAUUACUAUAGAAAAAAGAAUUUUAGAUUCUCCACACAUGCAAACAAUAAUUAUUUUAAAAUAUACAAAAUAAAUUGUAAUGAAAUAGAGGGAAUACAAUUUACUCCAACAAAUAUAUAUUGGUAUAAUCAUCACACUAACCGAUGCACCGAAUUGAACUGCACCCGAAUAUAAAAAAUAAAAUACUAAGGCCAUAUUUUCGAGGUUAAGUUUGGUUGGGGCUAAAAUUAGAAAAACCAGGCUAUAGAUUUGAUAACGCACACCACAUAUACAUCUUAUCCUCUCCCAAUGGCCCGGCCCAUACAAUAGUAUUUGACACGGCAUGAGCCUAGUAAAAGGUCCACACUUUUAACAUUAGCACUUUUAACAAACCUGCAGCGAAGAAGACCGAAACAGACUGCACUCUGCGGAGUCACCGACGAGCAGUGGCUCUGGCUUCUGUGGCUGGCGCCUGGCUG